rnacentral:rRNA from 1 species
AACGAACGCUGGCGGCAUGCCUAACACAUGCAAGUCGAACGAGACCUUCGGGUCUAGUGGCGCACGGGUGCGUAACGCGUGGGAACCUGCCCUUAGGUUCGGAAUAACUCCCCGAAAGGGGUGCUAAUACCGGAUAAUGUCUUCGGACCAAAGAUUUAUCGCCUUUGGAUGGGCCCGCGUUGGAUUAGCUAGUUGGUAGGGUAAAAGCCUACCAAGGCGACGAUCCAUAGCUGGUCUGAGAGGAUGAUCAGCCACACUGGGACUGAGACACGGCCCAGACUCCUACGGGAGGCAGCAGUGGGGAAUAUUGGACAAUGGGCGAAAGCCUGAUCCAGCAAUGCCGCGUGAGUGAUGAAGGCCUUAGGGUUGUAAAGCUCUUUUACCGGGGAUGAUAAUGACAGUACCGGGAGAAUAAGCUCCGGCUAACUCCGUG